GACGAAGGCCCCGAGCGUUAUCCGGAUUGAUUGGGCGUAAAGCGUUCAACGGUGGUUCGUCGCGUCGACGGUUAAAUCCGUGGGCUUAACCCACGGGCUGCGGUCGAUACGGACGAACUCGAGGACGGGAGAGGGGAACGGAACUACCGGUGUAGUAGUAAAAUGCGUUAAUAUCGGUAGGAACACCAAUAGCGAAGGCAGUUCCCUGGAACGAUCCUGACACUCAACGAACGAAAGCGUGGGUAGCGAAUGGG
rnacentral:rRNA from 1 species